rnacentral:lncRNA from 1 species
UUUUGCUAAAUAGAGGGUCUCGAUUUUAUCUACCAUUUCUUUCCUUUUUCUUUGAAACCUUUAAGCCUGGGUCCUUAUUUGCUAAUAAGGGUUCGUUCUUGUUUCAUUGGAAACCAUUUAUCCCCAUUUUUCUUCCUAAAUCAUUUAAAACCAAUAUAACUCAUCUUAUUGAAUUCGAACUAAAUCGACACUACCUAAAUUCGAUCGGGAACAUAAUACGACUCGUCACAUCAUCCGAAUCGAGCUCGUAUCAGUUGGUAUCAGAGCUGGUUAAUUUAGGUACGUAAAUUGUAGUUUCGAAAAAAAAUCAAGAAAAAAAAAUCGAAAAGAAAAAAAAUUUGAAAAAAAAAUUGCAUACGGUCUAGGUGCAGACGAAAAGACGUGAAAGAUCCGUAAAAAAAAGAGUCUGGAGACAUUUCAAUAGAAAUUUUUCCAAAAUCUCAUCCUACACUCUUUUAUAUCCCCCGUAGUGAAAUUUCACGCAAUUGAAAAAAAAAAUUCGAAAGAAAAAAACAAAAUUGAAAGAAAAAAAUUGUAUAC